ACGAAGAAGGUUGUCUCCCCUCUUCCUGCGACGGUGACUCUAAGCCAUUUGCGAUGGAGAUUCUCCCCUCUCUGAAACCAACGAUGGAGAUUCGAGAUACAAACAAUGGAGUUUCGAGAUGUUUAAUCAACAUAACGCGUAGCUGUUUGAAUCUUCAAUCCUGACGUUUUGAAUUUUUGGGGUUCAUGUUCUUCUUCUAUUUCUGAAACCAACAGUGUUGUUCUUCAUUAUCUGAUAGCAACAAUGGAGAUUCGAGAUACCAACUAUAUAUGGAGUUUCGGGCUGUUCAAUUGACGUGAAGCAUCUCUUUGUAAAUCUUCAAUUCCGAUGUUUUGCCUACCGCUCUAAUCAAUCGAAACGUGAUUAUUUAAGAGUUUUGGGUUGGGAACGAAGAGCUCCCUCAUCUGUACGCGAAGAGACUCGGCGACCCGAAGAGACUUGGCGACACUGGUUAUCUCAGGUACAAGUUUGGCCGUACCAACAAUCUUAGUGAUGGUUUGCUUACGGCUCUUCCUAAGGAUUACUUUAGAGUUGUGAACUUGAAAGGUGUGCUUUUCAACGACUGAGUCAUGCAGUUGCUACAUGUUGAAUCAGAUCCUCCUUCUUCUCAGUAUGAUAUGCCCAUCAAUAAGUUUUGAUCGUCAACACUCAUUUGAUCUUUCCUCAUGAUUCUACACUGUCUACAGCAGGUUUAUAAGAUUCUUCAGUACGUUUAAUCUUAUCCGAAGGAAGUCUAUCUCAGUCUAAUGCAUAUUCUACUCUGCGGAGAUUGGAGCAGAAGUAACCGAUGACAUGUCUACAAUUUUCUCAGAAUACUUUUGUGUAUGCUGUAGAUUUUUGUGUUGUUUUGAAUUGAUGAUCAAGAUUAUGAAAUUGUUGUCAUUUUGGCUUAAAAGUGGGAAGCAACAUGUAUCAGGUAUCAACUGAAACGAGCCUUUUGGUGUCAUUUUGGUUAGAUUUCAGCCUCAUCUCAGCGACUGUUAUAAAACAACUCUUCACACAAAUGAACCACCGCUCUUCUCAGCCAAAAUUGGCUCCAUGACCUUCAACCGCUUCUCCCAAGCCACUUCACUCUCCACUGCCACUUAUGGUCUGAGGCUUACUCUACCUCCAUAAAUUUGAAAGAAAAAUGAAGAAUGUGAGCACUUGGUUAGCCUGGUGAAACCUAAUAUGGUAAGGUUAAAGGGGUUUCAUACAAUAACCAGAAGGGCAAAAGAAAGAAGGGUACAAACGUUUUAUUGGAAGAGGACAUGAGAGAAUUGUCGAAGACAUUUAAAAUAGGAUUUCCAGAUUCACCUACAUUCCUAUAGGUUGUGGACCUCAUUUGAAAGGACUAUGUGCAGUGUGGAUUGUGUAUAGUUUCUGAGCAUUUAAUCUAUUUCCAGUUUGGGAAUGGUACACAUUGAUUUGGAGCAAACGCAUGGCUCCAUCCUACUGCCGCGCAGUCAGCAGCAGCGUUUCCACAUCUCCCUGUCGAGGAUGAGAUAUGGGGAAGGAAUGAUGGUGGUCAAAGAAGUGAAGGAAGCUAUGAUAUGGUUCCAUGGGCCAACAAAUUUGUCACUAUCGCAUCUAUGCACUGCAAGCUCCUUAUGUGAGAAGACUAGGAAGUGAUGCAGGUUCUUAUAUGAGAAGCCUACCAAUGUCCUCCACGUCGGAUCCAGCCUGGAAACUCGCCUCAUGUACGCGUGUCACGUGUCCAUCCGCAAACCCUAGGCUUCUAGCGAUCGUCUCCUUCUUCGUGCUACGGGACUUCUCAUCUUCUUCUGUAUCAUCUCUACCACUGAAACACUUCCAAUUUUUUCUUCUUCGUGUUUAAUCUCUAUUAAUUCUACCAUCCACGAUGUAAUCUUAUCAACACCAAAACAAUUCUCAAGAUGGAGUUUCGAGGUAUCUUCGUUGAUCUUAGAUGGCGUUGUUCUGGUUACUCUCCUAAUCAGCUGAAACGCUCCGAGUUACAGAUCCAUAGCCUUUAUGUCUCCUUAACUCCAAAGACCGAAGUGAGGCACAAUCGGACAUUAAUGCGAGUUUACUCUUUGCAAGGCGGUGAAUCUACACUAUAUAAAGUUGGCUCAACAGAAGCCAUAUGGUGGUGGAAGAUCUUUGCUGCAGCCGUACACUGUGAAGCGGGAUUUGUCGGAAGGCUAUGUCAAAGAUUCUGUGCGAGGAAAUGAGUUGAGAUGAGGAUGAGAGUUUUCAAUUCUAUUUGAAGAAAUUGAUUGACGGUUCAAGACAAUUACUCAAUUAGCACCCGUGAACCUGUGGGAAUAGCUUUCGUGGUGUUUGGUUUUACUCGCCGGCGGCGUUGAGGAAAUUCAAUUCGUCGGCACCAUUUAAUUGGCAACACCGACUCACUUCAUCUUCAUCUCUUUGGGACGACAUCGGUACCGUGGCUUUCUCUCAACAUACAGAGCUACCAUAGUUAUUUUUAAAUCUUAAUCAAGCCUGAAGAUACCAUCACCGUCCCUCUCAGCUGCUGGAAUGUACUCAGAUAUCCCUUAUUCAAUCUCUCAGGGUGACCGUGGAAAUCAUGUACAACACGAUACAAAUGGGAGUUUGAUCAUUUACUCAAUGAUUGGAUAAGAGUGGACUGUGACGAAGUUCUUAUGGUUCUACUACUCAAUGCUAACAAGCUUCAUAUUUUUCACGCUAUAUGGUAUGAUGCUUGUGGCCUUGACACCGAACUAUCAGACCGCUGGAAUCUGCAUGUCCUUUUUCCUUAGUCUCUGGAAUCUCUUCUCUGGUUUCCUCACUCCAAGACUGGUAUGUAGCAAAUACUGAUAUGGUGGAGAUGGUACUACUGGACAACACCAGCGGCUUGGACGUUGUACGGUAUCAUCACAUCUCAAGUAGGAGACAAAUAUUCGAUAGUGCAAUGCUGGUGUUGGAGACAUGAGCCUUAAAACUUAGCCGAAAAGUGGGUUCUCGACCAUGACUUCUUACGAAUUGUAGCUGCUGUCCACAUAGAUGGAUACUGGUCUUUGACUUUCUUUGCUUAUCAUAUAAAGUUUUUUUUUUUUUGGGUAAAACUUAUCGUAUCAAGUUCCUCAAAUUUCAGAAGAAAGUGAGGAGAGACCUUUGUAUCAUAGUGUUUGGAAGUUGUUGGA